CCCCAAUCGGCCCGAGCCACAAGUCAUACAUUUGGGCCAGAUAAUUCACAUUGGAAUCGGCCCGAGCUCAAUCCCGGUAUCCUAGCUUUUAGUAAUACUGCCUAAGGCGGCCCAGACUCGGGCCACAAGACGUCGGACGUGUCUGACUCUCAGCGGAGUAUCGCGACUCUCUUGAAUCGGCACAGAUCCACUGUGCUAGCUGGGAUGGGACAACAUUCCACAGGCCACAAUCAACUCGCUGCAAAAUAGAUGUGUCCCGGAGGAGGCAGCGACCCCUUCUCAUGUGAUGAGGUUGGGUCAUCCCAAGGAUCCCGGAAUGCACGGACGGUGUUCGUGGGGGAACAGGAAGUUCCGGACAGAAGCGCACCAUUAUUCAGUGUAAAGAAAGCGACAGAACGGUGCAGUCAAGAAGAUAACAUUCUUGUCCUUUUCUAUUUAUUACUACAGGCUGACUCAGAUUAAGUCUGAGGCCAGUAACAUCAACAGUGAGGACAAACCCAACCUGCCUCUCUCCUUCCACACUGAGUCCAAACCUACAGUCACUGGGUCCUGAUUGUGACAGAGGAGCCCAGUUUGCACUGCAGGAUCCAGAGAUGGCAUCAGUGAAGCUGGAAGACUGCAGUCAAACACUGGAGCUGAAUGUCAACAUUAAAGAUGAAGAAGAGGAGGAGAAGAUUGGGAAAUCUGUUAAUCAUGGUAUGAGGCCGGUAACAUCAACAGUGAGAACAAACCCAGCCUGCCUCUCUCCUUCCACACGGAGUCCAAAACUACAGUCACUGGGUCCUGAUAAUGACAGUGGAGGCCAGUUUUUACAGCAGGAUCCAGAGAUGGCAUCAGUGAAGCUGGAAGACUGCACUCAACCCUGGAGCUGAAUGUCAACAUUAAAGAUGAAGAGGAGGAGGAGAAGAUUGGGAAAUCUGUUUCUCAUGGUAAGAGCAGGUUCUAUCUAACUAAGUUGUUGUUCGUUCCAACUUCCCACUGUGCAUGAUAAGUUGCAGUAGAAUGAGUGUGUAGUUACUAAUAACCCUUGUGAUGUUGAGUUGAUGAUA
rnacentral:lncRNA from 1 species